rnacentral:rRNA from 1 species
UACGAAGGGGGCGAGCGUUGUUCGGAUUUACUGGGCGUAAAGGGCGCGCAGGCGGCUCAUUUUGUCAGGCGUGAAAGCCCCGGGCUUAACCUGGGAACUGCGUUUGAUACGGAUGGGCUAGAGUUCGGGAGAGGAGAGUGGAAUUCCCAGUGUAGAGGGUGAAAUUCGUAGAUAUUGGGAAGAACACCGGUGGCGAAGGCGGCUCUCUGGACCGAUACUGACGCUGAGGCGCGAAAGCGUGGGAGCAA